UUUAAUUCCAUCAAAGGUCUCCGUGGAAAUCAUCAUGGGCACCGUCAGGUGCCGUAUUUAGGUUCUACCUACAGCCCGGCGUUCUUUAGUCCUGAGCCACACGCAUAAUGCGUCGGAACGCGUUCAAUAGCCAAAACAAUUAUGGCCAUUGCAUGGGAUGCACAGAAAUGCCCUCUUACAGCCUGCCUCUGAAGCUGGUCCCACCUGCUGCUUUGUGCACAAGGCGAGGAGUGGGACGUGUUACCCGCCCAGGAGACCUGUCAAGGAAGACCGAAACCCUGUCCUGUCUGCCGAACAUCUGUGAUGGGGGGAAUGGGCACCACGGCGGGCGAACUAUGUUUCUCGAUCGAAUGCUUUGAAAGGGUUGGGUGGUCUACAGUUUACAAAGCCUCCGCACGUCGUCAUUUCCCUAUUAUAUUCACAACAGUAUUUAAAUGAAUCGGGAAUUUGUUGGAUGUGACGUUCAGGGAGAUGACGACCGCGGAGCGGCCAUCCAUCUAUCUCGGACUGGUGAAAACUUCACGCGGCCGGAGGGCAGCGUGUCUGCUUUAGUGCGCGGGGUUGGGAGAACGUGCUGUACUAAGUAGAACGUAGAGCGUGCUUUGUGUAGGAUGUGAUGAAUCUGCUGCAUACUGGCGCUGUACUCGCUGUUGCAGACUUACGCGCUGUUCUGUGCCAUACGGUAUACGGCUUCCC
rnacentral:lncRNA from 1 species